rnacentral:rRNA from 1 species
GCCUCUCUCAUGACGGUGAUGACUGUUCUGUCUACGUUUUCCUGGCUGAAAUGUCUUAGCUUCGUUGGAUCCUGGCUCGGAUGAACGCUAGCUCGAGGCCUAACACAUGCAAGCCGAGCGGUAUUUGUCUUUCGGGACAGAGAGAGCGGCGUACGGGUGCGGAACACGUGUGCAACCUGCCUUUAUCAGGGGGAUAGCCUUUCGAAAGGAAGAUUAAUACCCCAUAAUAUAUUAAGUGGCAUCGUUUAAAAUUGAAAACUCCGGUGGAUAGAGAUGGGCACGCGCAAGAUUAGAUAGUCCGUAGGGUAACGGCCUACCAAGUCAAUGAUCUUUAGGGGGCCUGAGAGGGUGAUCCCCCACACUGGUACUGAGACACCGACCARACUCCUACGGGAGGCAGCAGUGAAGAAUAUUGGACAAUGGGUUAGCGCCUGAUCCAGCCAUCCCGCGUGAAGGACGACGGCCCUAUGGGUUGUAUACUUCUUUUGUACAGGGAUAAACCUAUUUACGUGUAAAUAGCUGAAGGUACUGUACGAAUAAGCACCGGCUAACUCCGUGCCAGCAGCCGCGGUAAUACGGAGGGUGCAAGCGUUAUCCGGAUUUAUUGGGUUUAAAGGGUCCGUAGGCGGAUCUGUAAGUCAGUGGUGAAAUCUCACAGCUUAACUGUGAAACUGCCAUUGAUACUGCAGGUCUUGGGUAAGGUAGAAGUGGCUGGAAUAAGUAGUGUAGCGGUGAAAUGCAUAGAUAUUACUUAGAACACCAAUUGCGAAGGCAGGUCACUAUGUCUUWACUGACGCUGAUGGACGAAAGCGUGGGGAGCGAACAGGAUUAGAUACCCUGGUAGUCCACGCCGUAAACGAUGCUAACUCGUUUUUGGGUUUUCGGAUUCAG